rnacentral:tRNA from 1 species
GCCUGGGUGGCUCAGUCAGUUAAGCAUCUGACUUUGGCUCAGGUCAUGAUCUCAUGGUCCGUGGGUUCGAGCCCCAUGUCGGGCU